UGAUAUUUUCACUAUUACAAUUAAAUAUAGGUCAAUGAGAAAGAUUAAAUAAAAGCAUCUUAAUCAGAAACAUUAUAUGAAAUCAUAGAUUGACAAGAGUCAACUGAUCAACGCAUCCAUCUUUUUUCGUUCUAUUUGUCUGAGCAUGCGCAGUUUACAGUUCUGAAGUUGUAUAUAAGUAGGUACUACUUGAAUAUAACAGUGAAUAUUUCUUAGACAAAGGAGCUGGAUACAUGAAACUUUAAUUAAUUCAAUGUAAUACAUAUAUUUGAGUAAAGAAGUUGCUCUACUCUAUGUCAUAUAUAUAUGUUUGUCUUUAGUAAGUUGUAAAGCAUAGCUAUAGACUCGUAUAUGACAAGAGACUUCCAGAACUUGGUAAUCAUAAACAUGUGAUACGCAAUGCAGGACAAACGGAACGCGAGGGAUACAAUAAAGACAACCUCGAGUUUGUAAGUUGAGGAGAUUGGAAACAAUUAUCUGUCGUCCCAUUUAUUAAUGGUCCAUGUACGAGUUAAUUUCGUUAAGAGUAUCAAAGACAGUGAGAUACAAUUUCUUUCCUCGUAUCGUGAGAUUUCCAACAAGACAAAUCGAAUUUCUAGAUGAGAAAUGGAACAAUUCUUAUAGUUAUAUAAACUGGAUUAAAUCGAAUGAUUAAAACA